rnacentral:lncRNA from 1 species
UUGAAAAAUACUAGGAAACACACUCGCUUCAGCCUGCACCAACCAAAAUGACUGCUCAAAGGCCAUUCAGCCCCUUUAUCACUGUGGCUCAACUUUGAUUUUCUUCCCAGUUCAUCCAUGAUUCAGACUUCUUCUGUUUCAGGAGCUUUGCCCAUGCGUUCUGCCACCUUCUGCCAGGAAUUACACCUGUCCCACCCCGUCAAGUCUCCUGAAUGUCCAGAGACAGGGGUCUCCCUGUGUUGCCCAGAAUGGUCUUGAACUCCUGGUCUUCAAGCAAUCUUCCUGCCUUGGUCUCUCAAAGUGCUGGGAUUACAAGUGUGAGCCACCAUACCCGGUCAUAGCGCUCUUAUAAAAUGCAUCAUCAUAUUUAUUUUAUAAAUUCAGAAACAGAGGUCUGUAUAGAGAAGUUUUGAAGUUACUAGGGACCUGAAAAUCAUACUGAAGAUGUCUGCAACUAAAAACUCGAAGAGUUCCGAGGCUAGAGGGGUCAGGAGAUGAAUAAAAACGUUAGUCCCAGCUGAUCACAAUGAGGUUAAUCACAAUACUAAUUAAAAAUACUACAGAUCCUAGGACAAUGGUCAGAAGAAGAGUGACUAUACUUUCCUGUUUGCCCUUGGAAAAUCGAGGGCUGACUUUUCUACGUGCUCAGAUAACCUAAAUUGAUAGAGAGAAAGCUAGCAGAGGAUAAGAUAAACUAGUUAACUGUAAAUAAGAUUUUGCUGUUGGAGAAUCUUCUUGUUGCUCUGGUUUUAGAUAGCGGAGGAAGCCAAAAAAUAUCUGCUUUAAGUUACCAGGAGUUGAAGUUCAUCCCUGCUGAAGUUAACAGGUUGCUUCUCUUUUUCUGGUGUAUUCUUACUUUACUGGCGAAGAGAAAAUAAAUUAAUACCUUAUUGUUAAAA